UACGAGAGGUGCUAGCGUUAUUCGGAAUUAUUGGGCGUAAAGGGUGCGUAGGCGGUUUGUUAAGUUUGUUGUUAAAGACUUUGGCUUAACCAAAGAAAAGCAAUAAAUACUGGCAGGCUAGAGGGUGAAAGAGAGAAGUGGAAUUCCCGGAGUAGCGGUAAAAUGCGUAGAUCUCGGGAGGAACACCAAUGGCGAAGGCUGCUUCUUGGUUCACUACUGACGCUGAGGCACGAAAGCGUGGGGAGCAAACAGG
rnacentral:rRNA from 1 species